rnacentral:lncRNA from 1 species
UUCGAAUCGCCUCGAAGUAGCAGUUUCUCGAGCAAGUAUUUGGAAUUAAACUAAAGAAAAUUACUGGAAAGUAAAUUGCAUUGAAUGAAAAGCAAUUACAAAUAAAGAUGGUUCACAAAACAUACAUUUCUCCUCUGAAUUCCUUUCGUUCGAUCACUGAGUACUUAGAAUUUUAGAGAGAGUGUUUGUAUAAAAUUUUGUGACCCUUGUUCUGAAUGAAAAACUACUAUAAAUACUACAACGAAGUAGUAACUGUUUCUUGAUCAUCUGGACGCUCUUCGAUCUGCCACGUCGACCACGUUCUCCACUUUCAUCUUCCAUUCCUUCAGCGCGCGCCAAUGUCUCUUGGGCCGUUUGUUGUUUCUUUUUUGGGCCUGGCCCAACUAUCUUUCGAUUCGAUUUCGCGCUUUCGACAGCCUCCUGACAAAACCAAAACUGGAUGUGUCCUCCACAGCCUUCGAAACGCUCUUUUGCUUCGACAUAGUUAGACCUCGACACCACCUUUGAAAGUUUUAUUUUGACAAUAUAACCUCCAAAAAUAAAUGUUGGACCACCAAUUAUAUUUAAUUGAUAAAUACCAAAUUUAUGUCCAACACCAUGUUAUCAAGAUUUUAACAGAUAAGGAAAACAGAAUGAAUGGGAAAAGAGAACCAUUAAGUGAGUUUUUUUGUAAAUGUUUUAUUCUAUUUAAUCUCAUUUGUGCUAUGUUUUAAUUAUUGUUUUCUUUUGUGGAUUUUCAUUGUUGUUCCAUGGAGGGAUGGAAGUAAAAUGGAGGGAUGGAAGUUUAGGUAUGUUUUGCGAUUGAGUAUAUCAAAGAAGACAAAAAUUUC